GAAGAAAAUGAAAGAGAGAAAAGGCUGGAUGAUAUGGAGAGAGUAAAUCAGGAAGUACAAAGGAUAAGUAAGGAUGAAGUGAGGGCAGCUAUCAAAAGGAUGAAUAGUGGAAAGGCAAUUGGUCCACAUGACAUUCCAGUCGAGACAUGGCCAUGUCUUGGAGAAAUGGCAGUAGAGUUUCUUCCCAGAUUGUUUAAUAAAAUCUUGGGAAGUUUGA